rnacentral:rRNA from 1 species
UACGGAGGAUGCAAGCGUUAUCCGGAUUUAUUGGGCUUAAAGGGUGCGCAGGCGGGGGAUUAAGUCGGCGGUGAAAUUUUGCAGCUCAACUGUAAAAGUGCCUUCGAAACUGGUUUCCUUGAGUGUAGAUGAAGUAGGCGGAAUUUGUGGUGUAGCGGUGAAAUGCAUAGAUAUCACGAGGAACUCCGAUUGCGCAGGCAGCUUACUAAACUACUACUGACGCUCAGGCACGAAGGCGUGGGGAUCAAACAGGAUUAGAUACCCGGGUAGU